UAAUCAAAUUUGACUCAGGUUUAGCUAUUGGUGUCGGUCCUUCUUCCUGUUGAACUUCAUUAAGUUCAACCUUAGAGGCAACUUGAAAUCUCAUAUGGAGUCUUAAUUACAGACUUACUUGAAACUCUAUUUAACAGAUAACAGGCCAAUUCGAGUGCAUAUCUCCAGAAGGAUAUUGGCAAGCUGGCAAAAUCCAUCAU
rnacentral:lncRNA from 1 species